AUGGGGGCCACUUCUCCUUCAGGCCUGGAGCUCACCAUGGCUGUCCCCGGCCUCAGCUCCUCUUCUGGCUCAGAGGGGUUUGUUUGCAACAACAUCAUCAACAACAACGGUGGCGGGAACAUGAGGGACCUGGACAUGAACCAGCCGGCGAGCGGCGGCGAGGAGGAGGAUUUCCUGAUGGGCGGCCUGGAAGAGGACGAGGAGGAGAGGGGCGCCGGUGGACCGCACCGCCCAAAGAAGCUCCGCCUCUCCAAGGAGCAGUCCCGCCUCCUCGAGGAGAGCUUCCGCCUCAACCACACCCUCUCACCGAAGCAAAAGGAGGCCUUGGCGAUCAAACUGAAGCUGCGGCCCAGGCAGGUGGAGGUCUGGUUUCAGAACCGCAGGGCAAGGACUAAGCUGAAGCACACGGAGAUGGAGUGCGAGUACCUGAAACGCUGCUUCGGCUCGUUGACGGAGGAGAACCGCCGCCUGCAGCGGGAGGUGGAGGAGCUGAGGGCGAUGCGCAUGGCGCCGCCCACGGUGCUCUCGCCGCACACACGCCAGCCACUCCCGGCGUCCGCGCUCACCAUGUGCCCCCGCUGCGAGCGCGUCACCGCUGCCACCGGCCCGCGGAUCACCCGCCCGGCCGCCUCGCCGUUCCACCCUCGCCGCCCCUCAGCGGCGUUUUAG
rnacentral:rRNA from 1 species